UACGAAGGGUGCAAGCGUUAAUCGGAAUUACUGGGCGUAAAGCGCGCGUAGGUGGUUUGUUAAGUUGGAUGUGAAAGCCCCGGGCUCAACCUGGGAACUGCAUCCAAAACUGGCAAGCUAGAGUAUGGCAGAGGGUGGUGGAAUUUCCUGUGUAGCGGUGAAAUGCGUAGAUAUAGGAAGGAACACCAGUGGCGAAGGCGACCACCUGGGCUAAUACUGACACUGAGGUCCGAAGGCGUGGGCGGCAAACCGCAUCAGCUACCCCGGUAGACC
rnacentral:rRNA from 1 species